GUAGACGUGUGUGUGUGUGUGUGUGUGUGUGUGUGUGUGUGUGUGUUAUUUUUUUUUAUUUUUUUUUAAGAUUUUAUUUAUUUAUUUGAGAGCGAGAGAAUGAGAGACAGCAUGAGAGGGAGGAGAGUCAGAGGGAGAAGCAGACUCCCUGCUGAGCAGGGAGCCCGAUGUGGGACUCGAUCCCGGGACUCCAGGAUCAUGACCUGAGCCGAAGGCAGUCGCUUAACCAACUGAGCCACCCAGGCGCCCUGUGUGUGUGUUUUAAUAUGUCGCCCGAGUAUCAUACAGAAUAAUAAAAAUCAGUUCGUCUCCAAACUCCUCAUCGAGUAUUCCUCACCAGCCCCGUGUCCUAACAGAGCAAGGCCCAGGUCUAGCACGAGGGCUGGAAGCUCUGGCUCCAUAUCCAGCUUUCCUUCAGCUCUAUCUUCACCAGGACAGGAGCUUCAGAUUCUUCUAGCAAGCGUCUCAACCUCAGGGACAGAAGAUUGUACCAUCCGUGCGGCAGGGCUGCGGCAGGCAAGCUGACUGCGCGGUCACGUGAGGCUGGUGGUGGCUCACGUGACCACGCUCUCACUUGGGCAAACACAGAGGUGUGCAGCACGGAAAAGGGGCAGGAAGGACGUACACUUGACGAGUGACAGACUGCCGUGGGAGGAGUGGUAGGACGUUGUGGUGGGUGGGUGGGUGGGUGGGUGUCUCUCCAUGCUGCACUAACCUGGAAACGAAUUUCUUGGGCGAUCAGAAUUACAGCGUUUGUUGGUAGAGGGCACAGCCCCUCGGCCUGUUGCCAGAGUCUUAGCCGGGGUCAGUCUUUUGCCCAGGAGCUCAAGAGGCAGGAAGUCAUCCUGCGGGAGGAAGACGUGAGAGAAGCAGCGGUUGCUGUUGGAGGAGAGCUCCCUCCACCUAGAAUUCCUGUUGGGAGUACUGCGUUUAUAUUUGGGGAACUUCACAUUGUGGCCUGGCUGGAUACCUCUAAGUCCCACGUGCAACCUGAAGCAGAUACUUAGCCAAUUAACACCUGUGGAUUUUUUCAAUCUCAGCCAAAGGGCAGGAUUGGAAGUACUGAGGCAGAGCAGCCGUGAUGGUUGUUUGAUUCAGGUAAGGACGCCACUUUUUUCCAUCGCUUUCUUCUGCUAUUCACAAUAUCAACUUCUGUCCUAAAGCUAGAGGCUUGAUAUCUCAACAGUUGCAGGUGUCAAGCAAUUUCCUGAGGAAGAAAAGGAGACAAGCUUUCCUGAUGGCCUUUUCUUAUGAGUGAGGGCACUUUCCUCAGAAGUCCUUCUGCAAUCUCCUCCUAAUGCCUCAUUGAGUAGAGUUAUAUCACCACCCCUUCCUGAACCAGAAGGUAACAAGAGGAUGGAUUGCCCCUAGAGCAAGCCAACUCACCCCUGGAACUGGGAUCAGCCUCC
rnacentral:lncRNA from 1 species